GACAUAGGUGGCGAACGUUAUCCGGAAUUAUUGGGCGUAAAGGGUGCGUAGAUGGUUUUAAAAGUUACUAGUAGAAAACUAAGGCCCAACCUUAGGAAAGCUAGUAAUACUAUAAGGCUAGAGUGCAGGAGAAGUUAACGGAAUUCCUUGUGGAGCGGUGAAAUGCUUAGAUAUAAGGAAGAACAUCAAAUGGCGAAGGCAGUUAACUAUUUUGUUUCUGACAUUGAGGCACGAAAGCGUGGGGAGCAAAACGG
rnacentral:rRNA from 1 species